rnacentral:rRNA from 1 species
UACCCGCAGCUCGAGUGGUAGUCGGUUUUAUUGAGCCUAAAACGUUCGUAGUCGGCCUUGUAAAUCCAUGGGUAAAUUGGGCAGCUUAACGGUUCAAAUUCAGGGGAGACUGCAAGGCUAGGGAACGGGAGAGGUCAGAGGUACUUUAGGGGUAGGAGUGAAAUCCUGUAAUCCCUAAGGGACCACCUGUGGCGAAAGCGUCUGACUUGAACGGCUCCGACGAUGAGGAACGAAGGCUAGGGGAGCAAACCGG